CCACAAUCACCAUGGUUCCUCCGAGUCAGAAUCACAAUCUUCAGAAUAGCCCUUUUAAAAAGAGCUUUUGUUCAAUCCACAGUUGUCUCCAUCAGUCCUGUCA